CGGGGGGGGUAAGCGUUGUUCGGAAUUACUGGGCGUAAAGGGCUCGUAGGCGGCCAACUAAGUCGGACGUGAAAUCCCUCAGCUUAACUGGGGAACUGCGUCCGAUACUGGAUGGCUUGGAUUCGGGAGAGGAAUGCGGAAUUCCAGGUGUAGCGGUGAAAUGCGUAGAUAUCUGGAGGAACACCGGUGGCGAAGGCGGCAUUCUGGACCGACAUUGACGCUGAGGAGCGAAAGCCAGGGGAGCAAACGGGAUUAGAUACCCCGGUAGUCCUGGCCCUAAACGAUGAAUGCUUGGUGUGGCGGGUAUCGAUCCCUGCCGUGCCGAAGCUAACGCAUUAAGCAUUCCGCCUGGGGAGUACGGUCGCAAGGCUG
rnacentral:rRNA from 1 species